AGGGACCUGCGGUGUACGCGAAUCCGAGCCGAUAUGUUUUGAGCCAACACCAAAACAUAGGGAACCUGAUCCCGAGGUUGAUGGCCGUCCAGCCCCCACCAAAAGCGGUGUUGGGGACUUCGAAAAUCAACGGGAGGUGCCCACCUGCCCAGCGGCAGGUUCAAAACGUCGGUGAGUUACGGCACGGUGGGAACGGA
rnacentral:other from 1 species